rnacentral:rRNA from 1 species
GCUUAACCGGAGAAGUGCAUCGGAAACUGGGAGACUUGAGUGCAGAAGAGGACAGUGGAACUCCAUGUGUAGCGGUGGAAUGCGUAGAUAUAUGGAAGAACACCAGUGGCGAAGGCGGCUGUCUAGUCUGUAACUGACGCUGAGGCUCGAAAGCAUGGGUAGCGAACAGGAUUAGAUACCCUGGUAGUCCAUGCCGUAAACGAUGAGUGCUAAGUGUUGGAGGGUUUCCGCCCUUCAGUGCUGCAGCUAACGCAUUAAGCACUCCGCCUGGGGAGUACGACCGCAAGGUUGAAACUCAAAGGAAUUGACGGGGGCCCGCACAAGCGGUGGAGCAUGUGGUUUAAUUCGAAGCUACGCGAAGAACCUUACCAGGUCUUGACAUCUUCUGCCAAUCUUAGAGAUAAGACGUUCCCUUCGGGGACAGAAUGACAGGUGGUGCAUGGUUGUCGUCAGCUCGUGUCGUGAGAUGUUGGGUUAAGUCCCGCAACGAGCGCAACCCUUAUUAUCAGUUGCCAGCAUUCAGUUGGGCACUCUGGUGAGACUGCCGGUGACAAACCGGAGGAAGGUGGGGAUGACGUCAAAUCAUCAUGCCCCUUAUGACCUGGGCUUCACACGUGCUACAAUGGACGGUACAACG